GGGGACGACAGGUUUCGACAGGGAGAGCGACGAUCGGGUUGCGUACCGUGGAGCCUCCGGCCACGUAAAAAGAGGCGCCACCACCUGCGGCUUAGUACAGGUUUUCCCGGUGCACACCGGGACGUCCACGACGCGUGUGCCUGAAGGCGCGCGUGAGACGUAAAGCUUUGGGCUGGUCCGGGGAGUGUCGCGGUUCCCCUGGACGAGAAACGUCGCGAUAGGAUGACAUGGGCCGAUAGACCAUGCCGGAGCAGGAACCGUAAGCCCUGACCAGUCGUCGCUGACCGGAACCAAACAGCGACUACGUACGUAGAGACCCCUUCCGAACCUUUCUGGACCUGGGUUCGAUUCCCAGCGUCUCCACCA
rnacentral:tmRNA from 2 species